rnacentral:misc_RNA from 2 species
UUAAGUUCAGCGGGUAUCCCUACCUGAUCCGAGGUCAAAAUAAAAGAAUAGGCUUAUGGGAGCCGAUCCACCGGGCUCGAGACCGCGUUUCUGCUGCGCUCGAAGCCAAUGUACCGGCCGCCAAUGUUUUUGAGGCGAGUCCCCCCGCGAGGGGAGGACAGUCACCCAUCACAAGCUGAGCUUGAAGGUUUAAAUGACGC